rnacentral:rRNA from 1 species
CUACGGGGGGCUCCAGUGGGGAAUAUUGCACAAUGGGCGCAAGCCUGAUGCAGCCAUGCCGCGUGUAUGAAGAAGGCCUUCGGGUUGUAAAGUACUUUCAGCGGGGAGGAAGGGAGUAAAGUUAAUACCUUUGCUCAUUGACGUUACCCGCAGAAGAAGCACCGGCUAACUCCGUGCCAGCAGCCGCGGUAAUACGGAGGGUUCAAGCGUUAAUCGGAAUUACUGGGCGUAAAGCGCACGCAGGCGGUUUGUUAAGUCAGAUGUGAGAUCCCCGGGCUCAACCUGGGAACUGCAUCUGAUACUGGCAAGCUUGAGUCUCGUAGAGGGGGGUAGAAUUCCAGGUGUAGCGGUGAAAUGCGUAGAGAUCUGGAGGAAUACCGGUGGCGAAGGCGGCCCCCUGGACGAAGACUGACGCUCAGGUGCGAAAGCGUGGGGAGCAAACAGGAUUAGAUACCCGGGUAGUC